CGCCGCACUCACUCUGGAUCCAAGCAACUGUAGCAACAUUAACGACACUUGUACAGUGUAUAAUGUUGGAUCUUGGAGGGGCAUAAGAGCCAGCCUUAGUGCAAGGGUUAGAUGCCGACCUUUGGUUGUUUACAGUUUCAGUGAUUUGUUUCUUCUUUUUAUUUCUUUUUUUGUUCCUUUUCUUUUUGGAUAGGGGAGACAGAGGAGAGAUGGUUUCUUCUUCAUCUCCUUGGCUGAGUUACCCUAAUAACGACAAUUCUUACCGAGAAGAAAAACAAAAACAGGUUUAUGAUUUUCUGUGAAGAUUAGAGAUGUCAAGAACAAGGAAAGAUGAAAACUUGAUAUCCCUAGAUAUGAUGAUUAGCGAUUUGAUUGGAAAAAGGGUUUUGAAGUAAUGGCUGUAGUAGCAUCAUCACAGCUUAAUUUUGCUCGGUCUCCUACUUCGGGUUCUUGAAGCGUUCAUUAUUUUGAGAAAUUGGAGCAGAUUGGUGAACGGCAACGCACAAUGGGUAAGUCUAAUUUAUGUUAUUUUUGUUACGAACUGAAAAGGUGUUUGAAUAAAUACUAUAGCUUAAGAUUUAAUAACUUUCUGAAUCCCUCAAAUCCGUUAAUUUUAUGUACUCAAAAACUCUUAUAGUAUUGGUUUUGGUUGAGAGUUUAGGCUAGCAAAUAUCAAAAUUACCUUGAAUUUGGCACAUUUCUAAAUUUGGAGAAAUUGCGUCAUUGAUAUUAGUGGUCCCAUCACCCAACUGAAACUACUCUCCAAUCCCAUGCCGUAACAACAUAUCAAAGGCUCAAAACAGAAAAAAAAAAUCACUCUGGAGAAACUAAGGAAAUAAUCUGCGGGUACUAUAAGAUUAGUGAACUAUAGCACUCUGAUAACUAAACGUGUAUCCUAAUGAUAUAAAAACAGUGCUACACAUAUGUUGAAUUCAACAUGGCAAUAUUCAUAAAGAAGUGUAAAACAUGAGCCUUUGAUGGUAGAGAUCAACUCAUGCACAAGGGUGGCUUAGUCUUGAACAGAUAAUUUGCCCAGUUCAUGAGGUAUGCAUAUGCACAUAUUGGAAAUCAGUUCAGUACUUAUUAUGGACCAUAGUCAGCUUCAUGUACUUAAACAUCUGAACAUAUAAAACUGGAAUUUUCCCUUUUAGUUUUACGGUUCAAUCAGUUUUUUGUUGUAGCGUAUAUAAAACUGGAAUUUUCCCUUUUAAUGUUAUCAUUAAAAUAUAUAUAUUGAUGAUAAAAUUGAUAUUUUAUGUUUGACGACAUAUUCUUUUUCCUUGACAAAGUGAGACUGAGACUGCAACUGUUAAAAACAAACAAAUCUGCUCAUGUAAUUAUGUACCUUAGAAACAAGAAAAGGGGAUGGCAAGCUUAGAGUGGGCAGUGAUGGAAAAGAUUAAAGACGUUUAUGUUAAUGGUUUAAAUUCUUUGUUUUUUAGCUCUCGCAUGGUUAACUUUUUAUCAGUUGUCAUUGUUCAUUUUGAGUAUAUCAUUUGAUAGUGCCAGCAACAAGAGCCUUGAACAAAUCACUGGAGUUGCACUUUAAUAUAUCUAGGCUGCGUUUACUUCAAUAGAAACUAAGUUUUACUAAGAAGAGGCAAUCGUUAUUUUAAUGAGGUGUGCUCAUGGUUAAAUGAUAUAUUCAAAAUAAAUAGGUGGUGGCAUGUAUUGUGUCAUCAAGAUUAAAUCUGGAUUUGUUUAUCUUUUACCGGCCCAAUGCUAAUUUUACCUCUGUAGUUAUCUUGCAAAUGAUCACGAUUCUAGCAAAUUCUAUUCUUGCGUAGGUGCUUUCACAAUGCUUUAAAAGACAAUCUUUAUGGUUUUUUUUAAUGAUUUCAUUAGGCUGAAUUUCCAUUGGGUUAUCAAAAAUCGCUAAUUUACUGUUGUCAAGGUCACUUGAAUCCCUAUUACUGUUUUAUAUCCGUUUUUUUUCCUUCCAUUUUUCAGUAUAUGUUUUAAGUUCUGCGUAAGAGUUAUGGAUGCUUCCAUGAGAAUUAUUUCUCUCCACAGAUGCUCCCUUUUUUGCAUUUUGUUAUUGCAGGUUAUGGCAAACAUGAGGGAUAGCAGCAUGGAGGAAGUAGCUGAGACAAGGGUAGAGAAAGUUAUUCUUUUAAGAAACAAACACUACGGAGACAUCGUCAUUUGAGGGACAUCCAAUUCCGGAUCAUCAAAUGGAUCUAGAAAUUCAUAUGGCAUCCAACAACCUUCAAAUUGAGGCAGGCGACGACGCUAGCAUAAAUGUAAGAUCAAUCGACAAUAUUUCUUUUCUAAAACUCGGUUUUGAGAAUCACAAUACAAUCUCCGUGCUUCUGGAGAGUCAGAGUUACUGACUGUGGGUGCUACUACUAUAUAUCAUGCCCUAAAUACACCAUAUCCGGGUAAUAUGUUCACUCACAGGCUCUUAUUUUGUGGCAUUUUUCGUAUAUAUCACAUUUUAAAACCUAUGCAUUCCCCUUUAUAUCAAAUCGUAAAGGAAGUUAAAUAUAACAAUUAGUUAAGCAUUGGCAUGGGUUCAGUCUACUCAGUUCUCACACAUAUUUUUCUCUUUCCAACUAAUACUAAAGUCUGUACUUAUUUCUGCUUCAACUUGCUAUUUCAUCUUUUAACUCCCUCCUUCUAAAUAUUUAAUUACAUGUGCAUCAUCCUAUCAAAUCUUUCCUAACUCAUAGAAAAUAGUGUACAUAAAAGAGCUAUAAGACGGUGCAAUCUCAUGGUACAACUGACAUUCUGAAGUUUAUAACAUAAUUCUGUGCUUGCUUAUAUGAGCUAAGGGUCCCCAUAGACAUGCCUGAUAUCUAAUAAGAAUGUUUCUUUUUAGUUGUAUGACAACAAAGAAAUGACUCUAAUGAAGAAACUACGCACAGUUAGCAUAAAUAUCCUAUAGAAAGCAAUAAUUACUAUAUUACUAUUAAAUAUUAGCCAGCGAUAAGAUACUCUACUACUCAUUAUUCCAGUGCAACACCGUGGAAUACAUGGCAUCCAAAGCUUGGAGACGGAAACUUCAGUGUUAUACAUGAAUAACAAUCAAAGACCAAGGUGUCCCAGUGGCCAGGAAGUAAUUGCAAUGAAGGAAUUGUAUGAGAGUGUGAAACUUAACUUGCAAAAAUAUAUUGUGGUUCACGAAAUUAAAUAUACAGCUGACAGUACCCAAAUUAUGUUGAUACAGAUACUUUGAAUUAUAACAAAACGUUGAUUACCCAGAAAUAGGCACUGAAAAUUUCCAGUUUAUGUAUUUGUUGUACGAGUUCGUGAUUAAAUUCAUGGACCCCAUGCUUGAACAUGCAGGAAUUCAGGCUUGCCAAGGUGGUAGCAUCAAGCAAGGGUCAAGUAAACCCUUGCUUGAACAUGCAGGAAUUCAGGCUUGCCAAGGUGGUAGCAUCAAGCAAGGGUCAAGUAAACCCUCUUCUUGUUAUAUUUCUCUUUAUGCUUAUGAAUCAUUUUCGCUUAUGAAUAUAAUGAUAUAUUAAAUCCCACUUACAUUAGGAAAUUCUGCUUACUAUCUUAGCUCAAAUGGAAGAGCACAUGGUUCUCAACCAUGUAGUUGUGGGUUCGACUCCCACAGAUGGCGUUAUCACUACUUUGGGAAUGCUUAAACCUUUUCAAGCAUGUUCGAAAAUGUUUCCCAUUGAAGUGGGAGCUUGCCUUGGGCUUACGUAUAAACUUGGAAUUUCGAAUAGUGUUGGUAGGCCAAUUUUCAUGGGCAAGUUUUUCCUAUAUAUAGGCAUAUUUUUCUUGAUAAGAUGAUCUUCAUCUGAUAUCUCAUUUUCUAAGACCUGGUGCAGUACUGGAGCUUUUGCUGUAAAGAAUAAGGUACAAGUUCAGGUACUUGGGAAAAAUAUGAAUGAUCAAUAACUGACACAACAAUCGUAAACAGGUAGACAGGGAGUUUUGGUUCAAUAGCAUCAAUGUCAGCUAUUUUAUUUGUUUUUUUGUUGCAGCACUGAUCAGCAAUUUCAAUCUUGGUCGAGGCUGAUGCCUGAUAGUAACCAAGGUACCGUCUCAUGAAGAGAAAAUAGGUUAUACCAUGGGUCAUCUUCACCUGCAAGUAAUCAUAUGCAAAACUUUGGUGGAAGUAACACUCAAGUCAGGUCCAUUAGCCCUGGGCCCUGGCCGCUAGCUGAGAUAUGGGAGUUGUACUUCUUGGUAUGGAUGAACCCAUAACCGAUGCAAAUUAAUGAAAAAGGGAUGAUCUAGAACUGUGAACCAGAACAGCCCGGGGGAAGGAUUUCUGGAAUGUGUGCCAUCUAUAGAGUUUAAUCUGCUAUGCAAUUAUCACUUCUUGAUACCAGUGUAGGUUUGCCAAGUCCUUCCUCCAACCAAAAUUUAAGUAUUAGCAUAUGUUGUGUUUCCAACUAGAUUAAUAUUUGCUUCUUCUUCUGCGCAGCAGACACCUUAGGGAAAAUGUUCUUGCAUCAUGUUUCCUCUUCGAAACUCCAUUACUUAAUUAGAGGCAUGAUGGAGUAGAAUUUUAACAAAAUUCAAUUAUGUUUGUCAUCAUGUACAAACUCAUCACCACGAAUCUACAACCCCAAGAGAAAAACGGAUAGUACAACCUGCAGCUGCCUCUGACAACCCGUAACUAAAAGCAUAUUGUUUUAGCUUUGUGUUUUAAUACUUCAAAACAACUGAAAUAUUAUUUUUUUGUUGAUUGGUUGGUUAUGUAGCAGGUGCAGGACGGGCAAGAGCAAGUUAAAAUUAUGGAUGUGCAGUUCCAAGAUACGGGAAAUGCGAAGUUUGAUUUUUAUGAUUUGUCGUGUCAACUGUUGUCAAGAAAACCGAUUAUCAAAAACAAAAUGUACCGGGUGUCCAGAAUUAUGGGGAAGAGCAAGUUUAUGAACCUUGAGGUGAUAUAAGGACCUCCAAGGAAGUAAUUGCGUUGGUAGGAAAGGACAAGCUUGACCCCUCAAAAUUUGAUUUCGCAUCUAAUGAAAUUUUAACGUUCCAUCUAA